AUAAAUGGGGCGAAGCUGAUGCAGCCAUGCCGCGUGAGUGAGAAGGCCUUCGGAUUGUAAAGCUCUUUUUUAGGGAAGAAGGGUUCCUGGCCCAUACCUGUUUGUUUUUACCUUACCAAUAAAAAACGCCCAAGUCAAUACUAUCAGACCCGGCGCUAUAAUAAAUGUUUCAUCCAGUUCCAGCAGCCGCGGUAAAGAAGCAUUAAGGUGCGUCCACAACUCUGUGGACACGCAGGGCGUACCUCACGGGCGUUUUCGCUAAUGGCACGGGCCAUGGAUCGAAUGGAUCCGGGGUUUUUGGCCUCAGUGAAGUAAAAAGGUACUGGAUCAUCGCUUGAGGCAUGCGGGGUGCCGGCGGCUUGAACGGGCUUUCUUCUGAAUUGAUUCUGAGGAUGCAGUCCGAGGCGGGUCUGCCCCUCUGCAUCACGCCACCAAGUGUUCCCUUAGUUCGAGCGCGGGGGGUGGGUGGGGGUGCACCCCGCGGGUGGUUG
rnacentral:rRNA from 1 species